AACGUAGGACGCAAGCGUUAUCCGGAGUUACUGGGCGUAAAGCGCGUGCAGGCGGCUGUGUAAGUCUGAUGUGAAAGCGCCCGGCUUAACCGGGCGAGGCCAUUGGAAACUGGAGAGCUGGAGGGCAGUAGAGGCAGGCGGAAUUCCGGGUGGAGUGGUGAAAUGCGUAGAUAUCCGGAGGAACACCGGUGGCGAAGGCGGCUUCCUGGACCGACACUGACGCUGAGGCGCGAAAGCUAGGGGAGCAAACGGG
rnacentral:rRNA from 1 species